AUGGCGUCGUCCCCGGUCUCCUACUGGUGCUACCACUGCAGCCGCUUCGUGCGGGUCUCCCCGGCCACCGUCGUCUGCCCCGACUGCGACGGCGGCUUCCUCGAGCAGUUCCCGCAGCCUCCGCCGCCGCGCGGCGGCGGCGGCAGCGGCCGGCGCGGGGCCAUGAACCCGGUGAUCGUGCUGCGGGGCGGCUCGCUCUCCGGCUUCGAGCUCUACUACGAGGACGGCUCCGGCGACGGGCUGCGGCCGCUGCCCGGCGACGUCUCGCACCUCCUCAUGGGGUCGGGGUUCCACCGCCUGCUCGACCAGUUCUCGAGGCUGGAGGCUGCCGCGCCGCGCCCGCCGGCGUCCAAGGCCGCGGUGGAGUCGAUGCCGUCCGUGACGGUCGCCGGGGGAGGCGGGGCCCACUGCGCGGUGUGCCAGGAGGCCUUCGAGCCCGGCGCCGCGGCUCGGGAGAUGCCGUGCAAGCACGUCUACCACCAGGACUGCAUCCUCCCCUGGCUCUCCCUCCGCAACUCCUGCCCCAUCUGCCGCAGCGAGCUUCCGGCGGCAGCCGUGCCUGAGGCGGAGGCGGAUGCCGGGCUCACCAUCUGGCGACUCCCCCGCGGCGGAUUCGCCGUUGGAAGGUUCGCCGGCGGGCCCAGAGAGCAACUGCCGGUUGUCUACACGGAGCUGGAUGGUGGUUUCAGCAACGGCGUCGGGCCGAGGCGGGUGACAUGGCCAGAAGGAGAAGGGCAGGUGGACGGCGGCGAAGGUCGGAUUCGCCGUGUAUUUAGGAACCUGUUUGGGUGCUUUGGCCGGGGCGGCCGGCCUGAGAGUUCCUCGCAGUCCCGUAGUGGCUGA
rnacentral:rRNA from 1 species